AUACAGAGGGUGCAAGCGUUAAUCGGAAUUACGGGGCGUAAAGCGCGCGUAGGCGGUUUUGUAAGUCGGAUGUGAAAGCCCUGAGCUCAACUCAGGAACUGCAUUCGAUACUGCAUGACUAGAGUAUGGUAGAGGGAAGUGGAAUUCCAGGUGUAGCGGUGAAAUGCGUAGAUAUCUGGAGGAACAUCAGUGGCGAAGGCGACUUCCUGGACCAAUACUGACGCUGAGGUGCGAAAGCGUGGGGAGCAAACAGGAUUAGAAACCCUAGUAGUCC
rnacentral:rRNA from 1 species